UUUUUUCCCUACUAUACCCUUAUUUAAAACUUUCUCUCAUUUAAAACGUUUUUCCCUUCCCAAUGUUUCUUAUUCAAUUUAAUGAUAUAAUCCAAGUAGUAAUUGGUUGAAUAAGAAGUAAUUGGUUGAAUUAAAUAAGAAACAUAGGGAAGUGAAGUGAAUAAUUGAUUGAGACAAUUAAUAAUGGUAAUAUAAUAUUUUUACUAGGUAUUAAUUAUAUUCCUUAAUUUAAGAAUAGAGGGAGUAUUU
rnacentral:lncRNA from 1 species